ACUUAGACGAUAUUCAGCCCUACACAUAAAUUUGCAGAUUGGAUGGCUUUCACCAAGCGAGUGUUGUACAAUGCCUCUUGAUUUUCCUUGCCCCCGAACCAAGUCAAAAGUGGCGUCAAUGAGUCCUGGAUGCUGUCCUUGAAACACAGAUUUACAGCUUCUUUAAAGUUGAAGCCACCGAUGUAAUAGAAAUAGUUGACCUGAAACAGAAAAGACAGCAUUGUUGUAAAGUUCUAUAUGAAUAUCCUGGGAAGCACGUAAUUGUGCGAUCGAUGCUAUGGGGAACAUCUCUGGUCUACAUGGCACUGAAGUACAUUGGUUGGUGUU